GAUUUUUUAAAAUUUUGCAACGCAGCAUCCGAAACUGGUCUAUAGGUAAUAAAGUAGACUUGGAGAGAUUUCUUGCGGACGAAAUUUGAGGUUUCUGAAGCUGCCGUCAGAUGGAUUUUAGCAUCAGGAAGCAGUAGUCUUUAUAUUUACAUAUUUCCACUGCCCAGUGCUUCUUAAAUGUAUUUGGUUUUCUGGGUGUCAGAAAUAUUCUGGCCCGAAAUAUUAGUAAACCAGAGAACAGUGUAAUAAAACAGUCACUCGAAUGGAGUUCCGUUAAUCUCUAAUUAAUACGAUUGAAUUUUGUAACUUCCUUCAACAUAGAACGAAAACCUGCAGCCAAAAACGUGACAGCUCAAAAACAACAUGAACUCCCAAUACAAUGGGUUUUAGCUCAGCCUUCUGGAUUAAUCUGAGACUCGCUAGUAUGCUUGCUAGUCUGACAUGAAAGUCUUAACUGCUAGUGUCCAAAUCGUUUUAAAUAUGUUUUCAUUAAGGACGUUGUACCAAAUGUACCAACCAUUGUUUUUGUACCACAUGUUCUAGGCAACAACCUGCGCAUCACAACAAUUAUAAUUUUAAAUCCUUUGAAUGGAUUGACACGUCAGCUAUCUAGGAUAAGCUGAUAAAAUUCCUUUGUGUCUGGUAACAAUUGGAACCUUAUUGGAAAGAUUGUAAAAAAAUUCUAAAAGUUGGAGGAUGCUGCAUUACUUCAAGAGCAUAUAUUUCAGUACUUUGUGUCUUAUCUAAUCUAUACAACAUAGGCUGAAUGAUGUGUAUCUAUCGAUAUGGGAAGACUGAACGUCAGGAAACUUCUACUGAUUUAAAACAAAGAAAAACAACAAGAUUAUUGUGUAUUGAUCCUUAUGAGAAAAAAAAACUAACAGAAGUAACUCUGAUAUACAAAUUGAUAUUCCCAUGCCAUAUUACUUUUUUCAUAAAAUUUGUUUUAAAACUUGUCUUCGACUUACAUUAGUAUUUUCCAUUUUAACAGGUAAGACCUAUCAGACUUGCCAGGAAUGUGUCUAUUGGUCACACAAAUUGCUUGUUGGCAUUCACUCACAUGUCCUUUACUCACACAUUCACACAAUUUUGGGGUUGGCUUUCAACAUGCCUUAAUUUCCCUUAGAUUUUUAUUAAUAAUGGCAGCCAUUUAGAAAGGGUUAAAUUGGAUGAGGAAAAAGGCUUUGAAACAGAUAACCGUUGGAAGCUCCCAAUCAAAGAUGAACCCUCCGGACGUUGAUCUCAUUUUGUAAUGAGAAGUCACGAUCUUGCUAAACGCGCAGCCUUUUCCCGAGUUCAACAAUCUUUUGGACGUUGGAAAAAAAAAAGGAAAAAUUUAGUGAAACAACAAAUUCUUCGGCCGGAUAUUGCCAUGAUACAUUAACAUUCUGUCACAUUCCGGUAUUCUUAUAAAGAAAUUGAAGUGCA